UACGUAGGUGACAAGCGUUGUCCGGAUUUACUGGGCGUAAAGGGCGCGCAGGCGGUCGAUCAAGUCGAGUGUGAAAGCCCCCGGCUCAACUGGGGAGGGUCACGCGAUACCUGAUCGACUCGAAGGCAGGAGAGGGUAGUGGAAUUCCCGGUGUAGUGGUGAAAUGCGUAGAUAAUCGGGAGGAACACCAGUGGCGAAGGCGAACUACCUGGCCUGUUCGUUGAUGCUGAGGCGCGAAAGCUAGGGGAGCAA
rnacentral:rRNA from 1 species